CCGGGGAACAUCCGAGUCUUUUGACGCAAGUUGCGCCCGAUGCCAUUAGGUUGAGGGCACGUCUGCCUGGGUGUCACAUAUCGAAGCCUCCUUGACUAUUCUGCAGGGUGGAUGUUGGCCUCCCAUGAGCUCUUUUGUCUCAUGGUUGGUUGAAAAUUGAGACCUUGGUAGGGUGUGCCAUGAUAGAUGGUGGUUGUGUGACCCACGAGACCAAUCAUGCGCUUCUCUAUUGAAUUCGGCCUCUUUUACCCAUAUGCGUUUUUAAACGCUCGUGAUGAGACCUCAGGUCAGGCGGGACUACCCGCUGAAUUUAAGCAUAUCAAUAAGCGGAGGAAAAGAAACUAACAAGGAUUCCCUUAGUAACGGCGAGCGAACCGGGAUAAGCCCACCAUGAGAAUCGGUCGCCCUCGGCGUUCGAAUUGUAGUUGAAAAAAACCGCCAAAGGG
rnacentral:rRNA from 1 species